GAAAUGCGAUAAUUAAUGUGAAUUGCAGCAUUCAGUGAAUCAUCGAGUCUUUGAACGCACAUUGCGCCCCCUGGUAUUCCGGGGGGCAUGCCUGUCCGAGCGUCAUUGCUGCCCUCAAGCACGGCUUGUGUGUUGGGCUUCCGUCCCUGGCAACGGGGACGGGCCCAAAAGGCAGUGGCGGCACCAUGUCUGGUCCUCGAGCGUAUGGGGCUUUGUCACCCGCUCCCGUAGGUCCAGCUGGCAGCUAGCCUCGCAACCAAUCUUUUUAACCAGGUUGACCUCGGAUCAGGUAGGGAUACCCGCUGAACUUAAGC
rnacentral:misc_RNA from 1 species